UCGUCGGCGGGGGCUUGGGAGGAUAAGAGAGACAGAGAGAGCUCGGGGGAGACAGAGUCGGGGAAGAGGAUUGAGGGUGAGUGCGGAAGGGACCGAACACGGUGUACACCUAAUGAACGCGGUGAACCAUUUACCACAUACAGAGACAGUAAAUGAUUCAUUGCCUCUAUAUGUGAUAAUUUCAUUUUCCAUCAUUGAAGGCGAUAAAUAGUUCACCGCCUUCAAAAGCGGUAAGGGGCUGUUUGGUUUGACGUAAAACUGCGAAAAAAAAUUUUCGGUGGAAAAAAAUUUUCGGUGGAAAAAAAAUUUUACGUAGCUUAGUGUUUGGUUUGUAAGAAAAGAAAAAUAGAUAAAAACCUAUUUAAUAUAUUUUUUAUUAUAUAAUAAUAAUUAAUAUACUAUAUAUAUUAUUAUUAUAAUUUUUAUAUAUAGAUUAAAUAUAUUUAAAAUUAUAAUAAAUAUAUUACAUAAUAUAUAAGAGUUAUAUAUUAAAAAAUAUUAAUAAAUAUUNAUCUCAGAAAACAAAAUAACUUCAUUUCUUUCUGUGUGCUGAAGUUCCAGAUUCAAAUAGAUAUAUAUAGUUAGGGUCUGUUACUGAGACUAUAUAUAUAUAUAUAUAUAUAGUUGGACUGGGCUACUAUUAGUAGCAAAAUUCUAUUGUUGCUACCAAUUUUUUAGCCUUUGUAUCAACUCUUUUCAUUAUUUCUAACCAUUGGAUUAAAUAUUAUAACCCAGUGGGGACCACUCAACCCUAGAGGGACCAUUCAACUCUAACUGACUAAUAUCAUCCUGAUCUUACAAUUUUUCAUCCAAGGGUUACAAACUUGAUAGCAAAAAGAGCGUUUUACUAUUAAUAGUAUUCUAGUCUAAUUAUAUAUAUAUAUAUAUAUAUAUAUAUAUAUAUAUAUAUAUAUAUAUAUAUAUAUAUAUGUGUGUGUGUGUGUGUGUGUGUGUGUGUAAAAUGAGCCGCACAAAAACGUGAUCCGCACAAAAACGUGGCCAUGAGCCGUGCUUUUUUCCUUUGCCAAUUUCGUUUUUCGUCGCUCGCCCGCGAAAAACGGAAAGGAGAAUUUUCUCCAAAUAUAUAAAACUAGGUUUCACCGAAGAUUUUUUUUACAUGCAAUCAAACACUUGGAAAACUAUUUUUCAACUGAAAAAUUAUUUUCAGCCUAUUUUACAUGGAACCAAACAUAGUCUAAAUCAUUUAUUAUAUUCGUGAUUUUUAUACGAGUCGACUCAACCUACAAAUGUGAUGAAUAAUUCGCUAUUUUUUAUAAAUGCGGUGAAUUCACCGCCUAUAAAAAAAAUCUACCUCCAGUCGCUGAUCUAUGUAUUUUUGUAAAAAAAACUUUCAUAU
rnacentral:lncRNA from 1 species